rnacentral:rRNA from 1 species
AACGAACGCUGGCGGCAUGCCUAACACAUGCAAGUCGAACGAGACCUUCGGGUCUAGUGGCGCACGGGUGCGUAACGCGUGGGAACCUGCCCUUAGGUUCGGAAUAACUCCCCGAAAGGGGUGCUAAUACCGGAUAAUGUCUUCGGACCAAAGAUUUAUCGCCUUUGGAUGGGCCCGCGUUGGUUUAGCUAGUUGGUAGGGUAAAAGCCUACCAAGGCGACGCUCCAUAGCUGGUCUGAGAGGAUGAUCAGCGACACUGGGACUGAGACACGGCCCAGACUCCUACGGGAGGCAGCAGUGGGGAAUAUUGGACAAUGGGCGAAAGCCUGAUCCAGCAAUGCCGCGUGAGUGAUGAAGGCCUUAGGGUUGUAAAGCUCUUUUACCCGGGAUGAUAAUGACAGUACCGGGAGAAUAAGCUCCGGCUAACUCCGUG